UUACCUUUUUUUUUUUUUUUGCUUUACUGCUUCUGUAUUUGGAGUCAUGUUUGGUAAAGUUUUUUCUGCUUCCAGAUUACAGAGGAAUUCUCCAGUGGUUACUUCUAUUACUCAUGUAAUUUUGUUUUAUAACAUGAAAAUCUUUCAUCAUUUGGGGACAUAUUGUAGCUAUGGAGUGAGGAACAGAUCCAGUUUUGUUUUUUUCCAUAUUCCCACUCAUGCUGGAAUGAUAGAUAGUUAUUUAGAGUAUUGUAGGAAAUCAGUUUAUUCCUUCAACAAUGUGAAAAUAUCAUUCUUUGUUUUCUGGCAUUGAUUGUUGUUAAUGGGAAGUUGGCUCUCUUUUUAUUGACUUUCGCUUUUAUUUUUUUCUUACUGGCUUUUCACUAGUAUCUUUUAAGAAUUUUCACUCUGUCUUUGCUAUUCUGCAAUACUGCUUCAACAUAUCCAGGUGUGGAUUUGUUUUUCUUUAAUUGAUUGGUACUCAAUGUGAGCGCUCAUUUUGAGGGCUUGGUUUUUCUUCAGUUGAGAAAUAUUGCUUUUAUUGUUCUAUUUGUUCUCUACUUCUGCAUGUGUUUUUAGACAAAUCAUGGUGCCUCAGCCCAUCUUCCAUAUUUCAUGGCUUCUUUUUAAAGAUGAUAUGUAUUCUAGAUGAAUUCCUCAAAACCACUUUCUAAUUAAAUUCUUUUAUUGUUUCCAUCUUGAUUUACCUUGACUAUUGUGUUGUGUUUCAUUUCAAAUGUUCUAAAGUAGCCUACUUGUCUUUCAGGUUAUGAGACUGACUCACUGCACACCGCAUUGAGAGGAUGAUCUAGUUGCCUUUUGUAUUUCAAAUCUGCUUUUCCCCCACUAUCAGUGUACUAUGGUUUUAUUUAUUUAUUAUUUUAUCCUGAAAAGGUUACAUGUAGUUUAGUAGUUCUAAUUUGUUCUUGAGUCACUUUGGUCUGUUUUUGUUCCCAAAAGUCAUAUUACUUUGAUGAAUGUUAUUUCUUUAUCCCUCCUUGAAUAUCUUAACUAUACUUACAUUAAAGCCAUUUAAAAGAGUAGGGAGUAAAUGUAUCUCCCUAAUGUUGAAUUUGUUAGUUGAGUUUCUUUUAGUGUUAUUUUUCUUCCUGUGCUUUUGAGUUUUAGGUUUCAGGCUUAUUCUUAAAGUUAAUUUAAAAUUUUUUUCUCUCUGUAUCCACCUCAUCUUUUCUGGCUCCUUUGCAGACAAGGCCUUAAGCCCAGAACAUAUUUUAUUUUAUCUGUUUUGGGACCACUAUUCUUUGCUGAUGUCAGUGUUAUCACAACUCCAAUCACUGAGUCAGUAGUGGUGUUUUAACACUUUUUUUUUGUUUCUUUUUUAAAUGACCUGUAUCCUAAGCUAACAUUAAAUAUUGAGAAAGUGAUAUUUCUUAUUGGGGAAUACUGUUAUUUCAUGUAAUGAUCAGCAGUUUUAUUGACAUGUUGUGGCUCUCUCUCCCAUCCUUUCACCUUCCCUUUCUUGCCUCCGCUUCCCUCUCCUAACACCGUUACCAACACUCCCUCAGCCCCUUUUUGCAGUUCAUGUCUUGUAUCUCUCUUCUGCUCCACCUUGGCCAUCAAUGAGACAAUCAAACAAACUAGACAUUAAACACUGGCAGGCAGAGGAGAUGAUUUAAAUCACAGAUACGUGAUAUCUGGUUUGGCUGGAGAUAAAUCAGAAUUGCUGCAAAACUCAGAGUGCUGGUCUGACAGUAGGAGUUGUACAGAGGUGAGUACCAAAGCAUCUCUCGGGGUAGCUACACUCAGGAGGGAUGUAUUGAUGUUCUGACUCCACCUACAACAUCAGAAACAGUAGUUUUGGGAGUGGCUUGGGCUAGAGGGGACUGAAUCCAAAAAGGCAACAGAACUAGUAGUUGCCAGAGGGGUGAAGAAACCUGACUCUUUUGUAUUUUGACAUCAUGAUCAAUGACAUAGAUAUUCAGUUCAUAGCGGAGAAGAAAAACUUACUGGACACCUCCUUCACUUUUUAAAAAAAUUUAACUAGUAGCCAUAAUAGUAAAAAUGUGAACUGAACAAAGGCACAUUCUUUUAGAAAAUGAGUUCUUCUAAACCUUCACAAUUCUUAGGAAGCAGAUGCAAAUGACAGUUUGACAAAGCCAAGUUUUCUCUGCAAGACUGAUUCAUACCCUAAAAAUAUUUCCAAACAAGUAAGAUAUGAACAUGAGAGCACUGAAAUUAUAUCAGUGUCUCAGUCCAGGGAUCUCCAGCUAUACAAUUUGAAACUAAAGGUGAUGACGUGGAAUGUGAAAUGCUUUAUUUGAAUAAAAAUCUAUGCCUUGCUAUCAAAGAAAGAAAGUCUAGUUCCUGCGAAAACUUCUCAAAAAGAAAAGUGUAGUUCUGCAAAAACUUUUCAAAAAGAGCUCUCCAAAGUUAUUGAUAUUUUUAUCAAGUUACAAAAAGAUAAAAUUUUUUGAAGAUAGAAGAAUCAGAGAAAAAUUCUUAGAAAUAUUAUCGCUUAUACUCAUCUCUUUAUCAUUUUUUUUUUCUGGUCAGGGCUGAGUCAGAAAGAGCUUUUAUAACAGCUGGAAAAAUUUUUAUAAAAAUGUAUUUAUGAUUAAUGAUGUAUGACACACUUUGCUUUUAAAACUGAAUAAUAUUGCCAGGUGCGCUAGCUCAUGUCUGUAAUCCCAGCACUUUGAGAGGCUGAGGCAGGUGGAUCAUCUGAGGUUGGAGCUCAAGACCAACCUGGUGAACAUAGUGAAACCCUGUCUCUACUAAAAAUACAAAAAUCAGUCAGGUGUGGUGGCGCAUGCCUGUAGUCCACUACUCAGGAGGCUGAGGCAGGAGAAUUACUUGAACCUGGGAGGCAGAGGUUGCAGUGGGUCGAUAUCAUGCCACUGCACUCCAGCUUGGGUGACAAAGCAGGACUCUGUAUCAAGAAAACAGACAAACAAAACAAAGCUAAAUAAUAUUAAUGUUUCUCCAUUUUAUAUAAUUUAAUUUUAGUCAUUUUAAUGUAUUUCAGUAUUUUUGAUUAAUAUUUUAUUUCUGUUAGUUUAGGUGCCAGUAAUUUUUAUUAGAAUAAGAAUAUAUAGGAAGUAUAUUUAAUAAACUUACAUUUUUAUUGAUAUCUUGUAAAAGUAAAUAUUUUAAAUAUUUGAAAUGGAUUAAAAUUGUGGACAGCCCACAGAGUGGGAGAAAAUCUUUGCAAUCUGUACAUCUGACAAAGGACUAAUAUUCAGAAUCUACAAUGAACUCAAACAAAUCAGCAAGAAAAAAACACUCCCGUGAAAAAGUGGGCUAAAGACAUGAAUAGACAGUUCUCAAAAGAAGAUAUACAAAUGGCCAACAAACAUAUGAAAAAAUGCUCAAUAUCACUAAUUAUCAGGGAAAUGCAAAUCAAAACCACAACGCGAUACCACCUUACUCCUGCAAGAAUGUCCCUAAUCAAAAAAUCAAAAAAUAAUGGUUGUUGUCAUUGAUGUGGUGAAAAGGGAACACUUCUACACUGCUGGUCGGAAUGUAAACUAGUACAACCACUGUGGAAAACAGUGUGGAGAUUCCUUAAAGAACUAAAAGUAGAUCAACUAUUUGAUCCAGCAAUUCCUGUCCUGGGUCUCUAUGCAGAGGAAAAGAAGUCAUAUAUGAAAAGAUACUUGCAUACACAGGCUUAUAGCAGCACAAUUUGCAAUUGCGAAAAUAUGCAAUUAGCCCAAAUGCCCAUCAGUCAAUGAGUGGAUAAAAAAAUGUGGUAUAUAUACAAGACGGUAUACUACUCAGCCAUAAAAAGGAAGGAGAUAAUGGCAUUUGCAGCAACCUGGAUGGAAUUGGAGACCACGAUUCUAAGUGAAGUAACUCAGGAAUGAAAAACCAAACAUCAUAUGUUCUCACUUAUAAGUGGGAGCUCAGCUAUGAGGACACAAAGGCCUAAGAAUGAUACAAUGGACUUUGGGGACUAGGGCGAAAGGGUGGGAGGGGGUGAGGGACAAAAGACUACACUUUGGGUACAAUGUACACUGCUCCGGUGAUGGGUGCACCAAAAUCUCAGAAAUUGCCAUUAAAUAACUUAUUCAUGUAGCCAAACACCAUCUGUUCCUCAGAAAACCUAUUGAAAUAAAUCAGUUUAAUAAAUUGUGAACAUAUUCAAUAAAAUACCAAUAUUGAUACUAGUACUUCAGUGUUAUUAAAAGAAAUAGAGAAAUAUGAUGUUGUCAUUGUUUCAUUCCAACCAGGAGAAUCAUUUCCUUUUCUUCAAGCUAUGACAAGUUCACAGAAGCUUCAUUCAAGUAGUGCCCGCAAUAUGCUGGAGUCAAGUUUUACUAGCUUGCAAGAGUCAAUUGCUAAAGUUUCAAGGAAUAUUUUAAGUCAGUUGUUAAAGACAGCCAUUAUACACAUGUAUACAUAUAUAACUAACCUGCACAAUGUGCACAUGUACCCUAAAACAUAAAGUAUAAUAAAAAAAGACAGCCAUUAUAAAACUAAAUUAUAUAAAAUAAUAACUAAAUACAUUAUAUUAAAAACAAAGGUAAUACAUAUUAAAGACAUCACUUCCUAAUUACUUUACUAUUGUCUAUGCUGUUAGAGUUAUUUAUGUCUAUUGUAUUUUAGGGUGGAAAUUCCUAUGUAGUGUUGUGAUACUGUACAUCUCUCCCAACUCUCUGUUCACUUACAUUUUGGUACUUCGCAAUUGGCCAUGGUGGAAGUAUUUUCCCAAAGAAAUUGGCAAAUGCUGUAAAUCAGGGCUUGAUUUAUUGUUUUUUUGUUCAUCUAGACUUAAGUUAGUGAUGGAGAGCAUAUUAAUAAUUCAGAUUAAAUUUAAAAGUGUGCUGAGUUAAGCCAUUAGUGAAUAGCACAAAAAUGAGGAAAUAUUCUUCUAGUAUUAAGAAACUACUUUCAAAGGAGUUCUUCACAUCAUUGAUGAGUAAGUCAAGUUUUGACAUACAUCUUCAUUAUUUUAUCUUAUUUAUUAAUGUAAAGGGGACUAUCAACCAACAUGCAUGUUGUGAGUAUAGUGGUUUGUCAGUUGCAGCUACAGGUUGGCUAUGCAUACAAGACUUUAGCAAAAAUCAACAAAAGUCCAGCCUUGGCAAUGUGGUGAAAACUUGUCUUUACAAAAAUUACAAAAACAUUAGCAGGGUGUGGUGGUGCACACCUGUGGUCCCAGCUAUUUGGGAGGCUGAGGUGGGAGAAUCACUUGAACCCAGGAGGCAGAGGUUGCAGAGAGCCAAGAUCACACCACUGCACUGCAGCCUGGGUGACAGAGACUCUGUCAUAAAACAACAACAACAACAACAACAACAACAACAAAAUUAUGUGAGAAUCAAUUGGCUGUAUGGAAUUUACAACAAAGGGUAUUGUAUAUAUUAUUAUUUAUAAAUUGCUAUGCAUCCUUUAUAUUAAUAAAAUUUAUAAUAAAUGUAUAAGUUUAUAUAGGCAUACACUCCCCUAACCCCAGAAAACUAUUAAAAAAUAGAUUUAGGGGGUAAAAAUGCUGUUUUAUUAUAUGAAUAUAUUGUGUAGUGGUGAAAUCUGGGCUUCUAGUGUACCCAACACCUGAAAAGUGAACAUUGUAUCCAAUAGGUAAUUUCUCAUUCCUCACCCCUGACCUACCUUUUACCUUUUGGAGUCUCCCAUAUCUGUUCUUCCACUCUGUAUUUUCAAGUGUACCCAUUGUUUUUAAACAUUUAUCAGCACACCACUGGCAGUAGGUCUGGGCAAUCACAGGAUUUGCAGCUUCCUUUUCUGGAUAAGGAGCCCUUCCCCAACAUCUAUCUCUACAGAGUGAGCUUGGCUAUGCCUGGGUAACCUUUAGUCUCUGUUAACCCCCAGGUUUUCUGAGGGACUUUGAAUGCACCAGGUUCAUGGCUCUAGUACUGCUAUAAUUUUCUGUUCUAUUUCUGGUCCAUAAUGAUGCUUAUCUUGAUUUUGUGGGUGGUUAUAUCAAAGAAGCUUAAAAAUAUAUUUUAUUUAUAAUUGUUAGGGGUUUAAAGCAAGUUGGGGAGUACAGGACAGGAAGGCAUUGUGCAUUUUGUCACCGAUUAUCGUUAUGACUGCUGGGGUCUAUAGUAGCAAGGGUGAGUGAAUGAUGGUACAAUGACUUACCUGAGCAAGUCCGCCUCACCCUUUAACUUUAGUAUCACCCUUUCUCUAAAUCCUCAUUUGUCUCUCUGUCUAUACAGAAUUAAUUAAUCUGUUUCUUCCUUUUAUAUAAUUAAUUCUUUCAUUCAACAAAUAUGUACUGUUUCCAGUAUGUUUUCAUGUGCUAGGCCCUGGGCCCCACAAUGAAGACUAAAACCAGACAUGGUCUUGGCCUUUGCCAAACUUACGCUUUAGUGGCGAGACAAAUGUUAAUUAAGUAAUCACAUAAAUUUCAAACUGUGAUAAAAGCUAUGAUUAAAAAUACAUGGAGCUUUGAUUACUUAUAAUAAGAGCACCAGAUAUAGUCUAGCAUUCUAGCAAAGACUUCCCGGAGGCUGUGAUAUUUUAACUGUAAUUUGAAGGUUGAGUAGAAAUUAAUGGUACAAAACAAGAGAAAGCAUUGGGUAAUGAAGAUAGGGAAGAAGACUGAUGUGUUUGGGUUGCAAACUCUAAGGGCAGAAAGUGGCCAGAAAUGAGUGGGAAGACAUGCAGAGGCCAGAGCAUGUAGAGCUUUGGGAAGCCAUUGAAGUGUUUGAGUAGUUGAAUGGUAUGAUCUGAUACAUAUUUUUAAGAAAUCACUUUGUCAAUGGUGGUUUAGAAGGAAGCCAUAAUGUGGGUCAUUCUUUAGAAGGCUAUUAAUGCAGCAAUCCAGUGAGAAAUCUUGGAAGCAUAGACUUAGGAGUGGUGGUGAUGUUGGAAAGAAGAAUGAUUACAGAGAGAUUCAGGAGGCAAGACUGACAAGACUUGGUGAUGUAUUGGCUAUUGGGAGUGAGAAGGAUGGCAGUGUCAAGAAUAUCUUACUGGCUUCUGUCAUGAACAAGUGGAAGAGUGGUGCCAAUUGUUGACUUAGAGAAAAUUGACAGAAGACCCAGGCCUAGUUUUGGAGAUUCUAAGUUUGAAGUAUCUUUGAGUCCUCACAGUGGAGAUGUUGAUUGGUAAUUAGACAUACCAUAUUUAUGCCUUUAUAUGGUGUCAUCAUUGGCAUCUCUUUUGAGAUGUUAACUCUUUCAGACUAGGAAACAUGUUGUAUCACUCAAACUUCUUAUUUUCAGGCAGGAGGUGUGGACUCCAAUUGAACAGAAAGGAGUUUAUUGAAAAUAUAUUCGGUAUUUACCAGCUAUAAUGGAAGGCUGGAGCACUAGUCAUGAGAAAAUGUUUCUAGAAACAAAGCUCCAAAUUCCACAUUGGAAUUGGUCUGAUGAGUAAACCACGGCAGAGCACCAGGUGCUACACUUGCACUCCUGCCUCUUUGGUGCCAAUACCUCACCUUCCUACAACUGCUACUUCAUAUCAUUUCUGUGCCUUGACCUUGAAGCCUCCACUGCUGAUACUGUCUUCAGUUAGCAUGCAUGAGUCAGAUAUGGUUGUACUGAUGGCCAGAGCCUAAAAUUAUUCUCCAUCUACAAGAAUGACUAGCUAUCAGAGUGUCUAACACUUUCAGCUCUGAUGAGGAAAGAAGCUUUUACCCCUCCACCAAGAUAAUAAAGUGAAGAGUGAAGAACCCCCACACAAAUGUAAGGGAGUUCAGAUUUUGAAUUACUUAACGCAAGUGGCAGAUUUCCACUUGCAUAUAUCUUAUUCAUGUUUGUGUACUUAGCAACUCAUACAGUAGUAGUAGCACAAGAGAAGUAAUAAAUAAUUCUGAAUUCUGAAUGGAAUUUUAAAAUUGUUUUAACAACAAGUUAGAGUAAUUCAGAUAAAAAUUGCCCCCUUCAUUUUGGUCAUGUAGACAGUGUACUACUAGCUUAUUAUGCCUCAUUUUAAUUUGUUUUUGUAAACUGACCUCACUGUGAAAUUCUAUAAUUACUAUUAUAAUUUAUUCUUUAGAGAAUCAUGUAUUUUUUCCAAAACAAUAACAACGGCCUUGUUUCUCAUUAGGGGAUAUAGGGCACAUUUCAAUGCCCAAAAUAUUUUAGACAUUUUAUUUAAGAAAAACAUCUUUCCAUUUCUUUUUUCCUACCUGUGCCUUAUGAUGCUAAGGAAAUAAAUAAUAUUUGACAUUUCCUAUUGUUCCGUGGCACAUUUUUGUCCUAGAACUUAUUUCACAUUCCAUCAGUCCCACUCAGAUUGAUGGAGUACCAUCAUUUAGCGUUUCUCUUGCCUUCUUCCUUUUUAAUGUUUCAGGCCCUUAAGUUUUGUUUUUCCCUUCACAAAUUCGAAAAUUUUUUUUGAAAAAUUCUGCAUUGUUUUUGUAAGCUAUGAUACAUGAGCAACAAAGAUUCUAGGUGAAUCUUGUUUAAUGGUGGUGAUGAUUAAUGAGGAAACAAUUUCUUAUUCAAUUGAAAGAGUAAUCUUAACUAUAUCAUUUCUCCUCCAGACAUGCAAAUUAGACAAUUUUACUUGCUUAUUUCCAUUUCACCUCUCAUGUUUUGGUGUCAAAGGAAGUUUUUGCCCUUUUUUCCCCCUCACUAAUGUUGCAGUUUUCCCUGAUGUUGGCAUCUUGACGUUUUUUAUUUUUAUGAAAGCAAGAACUGUUGUUGGAAGAGGCAUACUGUGUUACAAUGCUGAUUACCUGUCCAUUUAAUCCAAACUCUUGUGGUGGUUUGUACUGUGUCAGUUAUGCAAGAAACCAUGUGUGUUGGAACACUCUUCCCUGCAUAAUUUUAGCCUAGCAUUGGCCAGAAAAAACACUUCGACAAGAUUUGGAAGGCAGAAGCGAGGCAGUAACUAUUACCCUGGAAGCUGGCUUGGUUAGGCGGACAGGAAGAUGCAGAGGUGCCAGCAGGUUUCAGCUGGUCUUUACUCAGUACCCAGCUUUUCUUCCUGACUGCUGACCAUGUUGAGCCACCAUAGCUCUAAUCCUACACCCAGACUCUCUGGCGUGGGCUUCCUGAAAUGGUAGCUGCACUUCCCAUAGACCUCCCCGUGAGCUUUCCUUUUACAGCCCCAUUUUAGUGGCCUGAUGUGCUUGGUUUCUCAGAUUGGUUGGUGGUCUGAUUCUCCAACUUCCCUCCUGGACCCCAACUUGCCCAGUCCUUUUUCUGAUUGCGUAAGGUCUAAUUCCUAUAAUACAUCCCUUAUUCCAUAACUCAUGGUGGGCCAGCUUCCUGGUUAAAUGUUGACUGAUUAAAUUCUUUGUGCCGAAACUUAUUCGGAUGCCUUUUCCUUUGCCACUUUCUUCUGUUAUAAAUUACAAUAUUUUUUUCAAAUUUAAGACUUCUCUCUUGACUUAUGUAAGUUUGAUUUCCAUUAUUAACAAGAAGUCUAAAUUUAUUCUUCUAGAGUUAUUCAGUUUCUAAUUCUAGUAUAUUUUCUGCAUAACCAAAACUAUAAUUAUACCUUAACUACUGUUUCUAAAGCUGAUCAUGCUGAAGACUUUGUGUAAAGUCACAUUGGGCUGUGGUAUCAGUUAAUAAUCAGAUGAUCUUAUUUGAACAGUAUAAAACAUUUGUUUUGUACUGCACACUUCCUAUUGGACAUUUAGCUAGGUCAGUUCAUUUGAGUCCUUAGCAAAUGUUAGUAAUUUGAGUAUUGGUUGAUUAAGUAAUCUGCUGUAUAAUUUUUUAGAUUGUAGGUAACGGUUUUGAGAUGUGGCUUUGUUUCAUAUUUACUCAUAAUGGAUAAUGAAAUGUAUAUUUUCUACCUGAGAGUGAGGAAAUAUAGAAAACUGCUGAAUUAAAAACAAUGUUAAUUCAGUGUAUGGAAACAAGCUUACAGGUAAAAAAGAAAUGCAGACAUUAACGGUGUUCUUAAUAAACUGAACUUUCUCAAUUACUUCUCGGAACAAACCUAUACUAGGUUUAAUAUCCAAUAUCCUUAUCAGAGUUUCAAAUGAUUAGAAAACUGAAGUGCAGAGAGGAUAAGAAAUUUACACAAGUUCACAGAGAGAAUAGUCAGAAGUGGGUUCUGGGCCAAGGCUGUAGGAUUCAAGUGCUCAUGGUCGCAACAACUGCAGAGUCCAGCGCCCCCAGCUUCCUGCCAAGCACAAUAUGGCGAGAAGAGGGUGGACUUUGAAGUCAGAAAGGUAAGAGGUGACAUGUCAGCCCCAUAACUUUCUAACUGUCUGAACUUGAGUAGGGCACUUAAACUCAUUUAGCUAUAAUUUAUGAAUUUAAAAAUUGAGAUAAUAAUUACACAUACUCCCAGGGUGGUUGUUAUAAUGUUGGUAAAUUGCAAAACAUGUUAUAUAAUUGGUAGUCAUUAGUUUGUUCUCUAGAUGUAUGUGAAUUUUCCAUAUAUUGUCCUUAGUAAUAGAUGAGGUGCUUAAAAAAAGCAUUUUUUGGGGGUAUUAUCUCACCAUUUCCAGAUGGAAGAAAUAUUGCUUAAUUUAGAAAUAGAAAAGUUCAAGUUAUCAAAAAUAAGAUAUACAUAUAUAAACAGGGAUGUGAAAUAAUGAUAUUAUAAUAAUAAAAAAUUGUAUAACAUCUAAAUAUCUGAUGAUGGACAAAUGUCAUAUCAACUUUGUUAUAUAUUAUAUUAUUCAUGGACUGUUACGUAGUCAUUAAAAUGUUUAUGAAGAGUUUAUAACAUGAGAAAUGUUUAAAUACCGGGGAAAAGUAAGAGACAGAAUAUUACAUGUAAAAAUACAUUAAAAACUGCAAGAAAAUACUUUAAAAUAUAAAUAUUAGUGGGUCAAUAAGUGAAUUUUUUCUGUUUAUUUUCUUGUGUUUUCUAAAUUUUCUGUUACCUUUAAAAGAAAGUAUAAGCUUUAUUUUAGAAGUUGUGAAAUGCUAUUGAGAAUAGUGCUCUGCUAUUUAUUUAUAGGUGUGAAUCCCACAAUAAAAUGAUAGAGAAGCUAAUAAAUUGCAUUUUAUUUCAUUGGCAAAGCUAAAGAGGUACAUGAGCAAACUUAUUUUCUUAAAUGGUUGGCAUAGAUUUUCUUCCUCCUUUUUCUUUUUUUCACAGUUGUUGCUAGGUGUAAAGGUGCUGGCACCAGUACAGCAUUUAAUUUUCUGCAGAGGAGUGCAUGCAAUAUUUAUAUAUUAUAUAUCAUUGCUUUGAAAUCAGUUUGUGAUAAAGGGAGCCAGAAAUCUUCUAUGAGGGCACUUUUUUCUGUUUAAAGAGGCAUCCUUUCAUUGGAUUGUAGUAAUGGCCAUAGUACUUAAGCAAAUAGCUGUAAAACAUGAAAAUGUCCUCCUUUCUUAUAUUAAUCCAUCAGGAAGCUUUCAGGAAUUCUUCUUGUCUAAAAUAUCCAUAGGCAGCAAAAUGUCCUGAAUGCCCUACAGAAUUUGUGCAGAGCCAGGCAGAUGAUUGAUAGUGAAGUUCUGUUCUGAGUCACUCACAGUAUGUAAUUCUAUUUGUCUUGCCAAAUACAGGAGAGCAGGCAACUCAUAAAAGGUAAAGGUAACAGACACUGUAUUUUCUUACAUUUAAAAAAGAACUUGGUGUCUCCACUUCACUGUACUCUACUGAAUAAAACAAAUUUUUAUUAUAUAAAAUAAAAGGCAGGCGAGCUAUUCUUUGUAAAGUAAAAUAAAGUUUUAUUAAACAGAUGUCAUUUAUUAUAUUGCAUAUUUCUGUUUGGCAUAUAUUUGCUUGUAUGGGCAUAUCUUAAGUAAAGGAUGUGUAAAUGUUGUCUAAUUAAAGAGAAACUAGUCAGGGUGCAAGCAAGGUAUAAACUAGAUGCUCUGUAGAUUACUUAAUGAAUAAAAUUUCAUUUCCACCUUCCAGUGUUUUUGCCAUUAGUAUUUCAUUUUUCCAUGAAAUUGAUGUUAAAACUGAAGUUAUGAUCAGGUUAAUCUUAUGAAGUCAGGUAAAGCGAUAGAUGGGCAUUAGAUGAUAUUGCAGUUGCUAGCCAGAUUUAGCACUUUGAACUACUCUUAUUUCCUGAGGGCAUGAUUCUGUCAUUCAUACUUGUACACAAGUCCCUGACUUUUGGCAGAGUCAGGAAUUUGGAAUCAUGUCUAGAGGAUUUGCUUUUGGUUUACAUGAUUCAGUACAUAAACUAUCAUCGUUCAUGACAGGUAUUAUGCUGCUCUAUAUCCAAAAUGAAUUGCAAUGUACAGGUAAGAUAGAACAAAUUAAUUACAGUAGUUACUUUUUUAUUUUUUGAGACAGAGUCUCUCUAUUGCUCAGGCUGGAGUGCAGUGGCAUGAUUUCGGCUCACUACAACCUCCACCUCCCAGGUUCAAGUGAUUCUCGUGCCUCAACCUCCCGAGUAGCUAGGAUUACAGGUACACACCACCACAUCCGGCUAAUUUUUGUAUUUUCAGUAGAGAGGGGGUUUCGCCGUGUUGGCCAGCCUAGUUCUGAACUCCUGGCCUCUAGUGACCCACCUGCCUCAGCCUCCCAAAGUGCUGGAAUUACAGGGUGAGCCACUGUGCCCAGCUAAAUUAUAGUACUUUUUUUUCCCCUGCAGUGAAAGGAUUUUAGAAAUAUAGAAAUACAGCAUCACAAUGAAGAACUUGUUGAUAAGUCUGUUCAAGUCAGCUGGGGCCUGCCACAUAUAAGGAGGAUAUAUUUGAGCCAGUGGUUGGCUAUGGUGUGCUUAACUGAUUAUAGGCAGACUAUAACCAGUUAAAGAGCAGGGGCCAUAUUUCAAUAUUAUUCGACUUUCAGUCACAUCUAUUGCUUUGUACAUACCUGUAGUAAGAAAUCAACAAAUGUUUCAUUAAGCAAGAACCCAGAAGGGUCUUAGAUUGUAGGCAACAAUAAUUUAGGUAGAAAUGACCAAUUGAUGGUUUUUCACAGGAGGUUUCUCUGACCUUGAAAUUAAAUUUUAAAACAAUAUUUAUUAUUAUUUUUUUAGGGAUGUAGUUUCAUUUUGUUGCCCAGGCUGGACUUGAACGCUUGGGAUCUAUCAGUCUUUCCACCUCAGCCUUCAAGUUGCUGGAACUGCAAGUGUGUGCCACGGCACCAGGCUUAGACCUUGGGAUUUGAGUAUCACUUUGACCAGUUUGCUUCACAUUUCUCACUGAUUUCUCUUCCUACAAUAUUUUCAUGCUUUAGCAUAUUCCUUACAUGUCUUUAUUCCUGGCAUAAAAACAUGGUUACCUUUCAAUUUUUGAGACAGACAAUAAGUUUGCCCAGAAAUUUGCCCACUAGGCAAGGAAAAAUAUUUGCUGACACAGGUAACCAGAGAUAUAUAUAUACAUGUGUUAACACAUCCUGAAAACAUCUUGUUGAUUGUGAUUUGUUGAGAAUUUUUACAUUCUUUCCAAUGAGGUUAUGAAAAGUUGCUUUUUUUUAAGAAUUGAAACUAUUAAUAUAUAUAGAAAUAUUUUUCUUUAUAGUUGCUAAAUUUACCAUUGGAAAUUUUAUUUUUCUUAAGCCUUGAAUAAAAUGUUUUACCUGUUACAGUCUUUUCUAAUGAAAUACAUUGUUCACUGCCAUAAUAACCACCUUAGAGGGACUCCUGGUUUCUCUCUAGUUAUUUUUUUAACUGAUAUUUCCCUGGAGAGUCUGAUUCCCUAAGCGUGGUCUGAAUUGACAACAUGGACUUAAAGAUGAGAUGAUCGGUGCCACUUAUUUAUUGAUAUUGCCACAUGGGAGGUUCUGGCAAUGGAGUGGGUCAUUUCUGUCUGCCUUUAUAGCUGCCCCUUUGAGCAAUCCUUUUGAGCAGGAGCAGUAUUGAUGGGAGGCAGCCUCAUUAGUGUUGCAGCCAUCAUCAAUUAAAACUUGUCCUUGGCAAAGAUAGUCUCUCUUCCCUCUCAUUUCUUUGUAGAGCAAGUGCCUAUUUUUAAAGAAUAACUUGACUUGGCUGUCUUUUCCCAUGGUUGACAGAGAAGCCAUUGUUCUAUUUCAAUCAAUAGAAACAGUGUUUGCAACAACAACAAAAACAGCCAUGAACACUUAUUGAAGACUUAUCUGCUUUAUAUCAACAUUACAUAUUCAACCUUGAUGACUCUUGAAAAAGUGAGGAGAAAUUGCUCAGAUAGACAAGCACGUCUAUGAAUUUCAUAAGAAAAAUCUCUGUUGUGUCUGUCAUGGAAGGAUAACAAUCAGAGGCUCAUGGACUGAAGAACAGAAAAGUGAACUGUCAGUUAACCAACAUGAGAUGAUGAACCUCAAGUACCACCCCAGACAACAAGGCUGCUUCAUCAGGACACAAACCUGCCUGUACCAGGACCUCUGAUCUGUGUGCAGGGCUUAUUUGCUUCAUGAGAGCUACGUUAUAUAAAAAACAAAAAUGAGACGGGAAAUACAACUUUGGCCAAAUGACGUUUUCACAUAUUUUAGAAUACUAUAAAAAGAAGGAAAAAAAGAAAGGUAGGUCAGAUAAUAUCUGUGAUCCUUUUAUAUUUAAAAGCAUUGCUCCAAAAUAAAAGUGUGUGACAAGUUGUUAACAAGUAUUUGCAUGUCUCUGAGGAAUGUUUUGGGUAGUAUAUAAAAUAAUUCUGAGGAGAAGAUACUGGUCCUCAGAGGUUUAUUUUUUUUUCCGCAUGCACUCUCUAUAAUUGAAAACAGUUCUUUAUUCUAAGUCUUAUAUAAUAAAAUUUGAAUAAAGAAAAAAACUGCAAUCUUUAAAUGAGGCCACGAUUUGUCUAUCAGGUUGAAUCAGAGACAGCCUAAUUUGUCCAAUAUCUUUUACCAUUAUUACCAAAGAGAAGGCAUGGCUUAGUGGCUCAUUUUAGAUUUCUUGUUAAGUUAUUUAGUGACUGUGAUAAAAUAGAGUGUUUUGCUAUGUGUGAGGUACUCUUCUGAGAGCUGAGAAUGAAGCAUUCAAUGCAGCAGGCAGUGUCCCUGUCCUCAUUUCUAAUAAUACCAUCAAAAUGAUGGAAUCCAUCAUGUGCUAUUCUCUUUUCACUCAGAUGGACCCCAGGUAAAAUGGCUGAAAACCUGAAGAAAACACUUGUGUUAAUUAGAAGUAGUAAAGUGAAAUUGUUAUCAUAAGAAUCUAUUUGGCCAGGUGCUGUGGCUCACGCCUGUAAUCCCAGCACGUUAGGAGGCCGAGGUGAGUGGAUUGCUUGACCUCAGGAGUUUGAGACUGGCCUGGCAACAUGGCAAAACCCCGUCUCUACUAGAAAUAAAAAAACUAGCCAGGUGUGGUGGUGCACGUCUGUAAUCCCAGCUACUCAGGAGGUUGAAGCACAAGAAUCACUUGAGCCCAGGAGGGGAGGUUGCAGUGAGCUGAGAUCGUGCCACUGCACUUCAGCCUGGGUGACAGAGCAAGACCCUAUAUAUCAAAACAAACAAACAAAAAAACUACUUUAAAUCCUAAUAAUAUUCUAACACCAGCAGUGCAAUGUAUUAUAAAUAUUUGCUUCCUGGCCAUGAACAUUUUAAAAUCUUUAAGUUUAAUAUUUAGUAUUUGUAUUUUAAUGUUACUACAGUUCCUUCAUGAAUGAAUAUGCUGAUGAUUUUUAGUAAAGUCAUGUUAAUUAUUAUUACAGUUCUCAAAGUACUUCUUUUCUUCCAAAUGCAGUUAUGAGCACUAUUCUGCUUAGUGAUUGGGCAAAACUAUUUAGAAACACUUUUGUAGAACUCUGACAUCUAGAAAUCUGAAGAUUACAGAAAAACCUGGAUAAGUCAAAGUAGUAUUUCAUAAAUGAAAUUUCUCAAGUACUUUAUAAACUAUCUUGUAUAGUAUUGAUUUGUAAAUAACCUAGACAAAUGAAAACUAAGAUACUUGAAGUGAGUCCAUGUUUUGCCAUUCAAAGCAUUAAGUAACUAUUGACUUUAGAAUUUAGUUGAUACUCAAAUAACGCAAACAUGACUCAGAAUAGGGGCAGGUGGUGAAUUAGAGGCAUCAGUGAGUUAUUUUCAAAUCCAUUGUCUUAAUUUAACUAAAAGCUGCAGUAUAGAUAGUCAUUUCUUGCUUCAACACAAUAUGAAAAAUUACUUUAGGUCACACAUUUAGGAAAUGGGACUAUGGAAAUCUGCUUUGCUUUAGGAGCCAGGAUAAAGGUGGGAAGGGAAGCAAAGGAUAAAUGCUAAAAACAAACAAACAAAAAAAACAAAACAAAAAAACAACAAGGAAAACAAAAUCAGUUUCACAAUGUAUAUACAAACAAAACAAAACAAAACCCAACAACAACAAAAAACCCCAAACCAUUAGUAGAAUAUCUCAGUAAUGCAAUGCAUGUUUUUUUUUUCUCACAUGUAUCUUUCAUGUUGAACGUUGCUAUAAUAAAAUAUACCACUAUAUUUGACCAACAUCAAUUCCCAAAUCUGGGUUCCUAGGGUUUACCACCCUUGACGAUCUGUUGAAUAUGACUACCACCAUUAGGAUGAUCUCCCACUAGUGGCUAGUCUUAGUGGAUUGAUCCCACUACUGGUCACCACUUGAAAAGACUCCCUUAAAAGCAAAGUAAAAUUCUCUAAGUUUUAAGAUAGUGAGUUUGAUCUUAUCAGAAGUAGGCAAAGGGAAAGGAGAAAUUCAGGACACAGGACUACAAGUUUAUCUGCCUGUCCCUAUGUUAACAACCUCUUGCCUUUCCAUUGUCUGAAGUAGGUUUCCCCACAUGGUUCAUUUUUUUUUCUCAUGCAGGGAAGUCUUGAGGGUUUUGGUAAACUUUCAUCUGUAUGAAAUGUCUCGACUCAGGGAUGAGAUGGUGAUAGAGGCAGAGCAUCCAUAUUGUGGUAUACUGAGUCCCAAUAACUCCCCAGGGAAAGGAGUUACCUCUUCCCAUUGAUUAGUAAAGUAGGUUUGUGAUCAAUAAAUAUAGAAUACAAACAAGGGUAUUCAAUGAACAAAGUGUAUGCUUAGUAAAUAAUAAUGUGGCUAUUUUGCCAUUAUUACUAAAGAAGCAGCAUGACCUUAAAGUACAUAUGAGGCCUUCCUAAAAGAGCACAAAAGAAAGAUUUGACAAAUACAUUUGCUUUUCCAUUGUCAAGAACCUUUCCCAUGCCGUCUGUCAUCAGGAGUUAUUCACAUUUAAAGAUGGAAGUAAGCUAUUGUUAUUCCUAAUGAACACACUGAAAUCUAUGCUGCCUGAUUUUAACAUUUGAUACUAAGACUCCCUCCCCAACAUGAAGAAGUUUUUUUUUUUUCAAAGUUGUCUUUUGGGGUAAUAAAGUGGGAUUUAGAAAGAGUAAUUGCUCGUACUGAAAAUAAAAGUCUUCAGUGAUUACAUCUGCUAGAAGAGAAUUUUUGUCAGUGUAUACAGUGAUUUUUUUUUUUUUAAAGUUAAUGUGUUAGAAAGAAACCCAACUGAAAAAUACUACUAAAUUUAAUAUUUAAUAUCUCAAAAUUUAAAAAACUAAACAAGUAAAUUAGAGUAAGACACUAUGCCUUCAGAUUUUAUAAAUAAUAUUCAAUUGAAAAUAAAAUGAAAUAGAUAUGUAUAUGAUAAAGAAAAUAUAAAUUCUUAAAGAGGUGAAAAUACAUGAACUUUUAAACUACAGAGAAAACUAAAAGUCUUAUUUUUUAAAAUAACAUAAUAAAUGGACAAGUCCUCAAAAGUAGAUGAGCUGAAAUAAGACAUUUAAAAAUGAUGUUCAUUUUAUGUAGCUUAUUUAAUAUUUGUAUAUUCAAUGUAAAAGGUUAUCAUAAAGUAAGGACAUGAUAUUGUACUUAAAGUUUUAUCAGGAAGUUGGAUGAUACACAUUGUUUAAUUCCUUUCAACAAUGACACAAUUAUUAAAUUUUACAGGCACUAAAGUGUCCAGCAUUGUUCUGACAUAAGGAAAGCCAAACUUUCUUACAGUGAAUAGGAAGAGGAACAAAAGAGGCGUCAGCGAUGUAAUAACAUACACAGGGUUAAACAGUUAUUUUUCAAAGAAAUGUAGAACAAAAAUAUUCCUAAAGGUCACAUGCCAUCUCUUCAGCCCAUUUAAGCCUUCUGAAAUGCCACUCUGAGUAAAAUAACUACCUCUCCAGAAGAGUCAUUCCAUUAGAGAGCCAACUAACAUCAGUACAGAGAUAAAUGGGAGAACAGAAAAUUGAUUUUACACUUGUGCCGUAAGUGUGGUCAAAUGUUAUAGGCCAGCACAUCAAAUAGGAUUCCAAAGAAUUGCUGUGCCUGAAAAAUAACAACAUAAGAGGAUGUGGUUAAAUACAGCUUAAUAAUAGGUUUGAUGGUCAGUGUGUAGUAAAAUAUUUAUUUACUCUUUCUGUUUGUUAUACCAUAUGACACAUUCUGAUAUCUUUUUUCUUUUUGUUAAUAAAUUUAUUAUCUCAAUGUUCUUGCAACUGGUACCUUUUAUCCCAGCUCAUUGCUAUUACAUGUACCCAGAACCAUACACGUGU